rnacentral:rRNA from 1 species
GGGCGUGGAUAGGCAUGCAGUCGCGCGAUAUGCGUAGCAGUACGUGGAAAGCGGCGUAGGGAGAUCAUGGUUAGCUACCCUCGGGACUGGGAUAGCGGCGGGAAACUGCCGGUAAUACCAGAUGACGUCUUCGGACCAAACGUGUGAAUCGGCCCGAGGAGGUGACCAUGUCCUAUCAGCUUGUUGGCGGGGUAACGGCCCACCAAGGCAAAGACGGGUAUUGGGCGUGAGAGCGUGCCCCCACUCACUGGGACUGAGACACUGCCCAGACACCUACGGGUGGCUGCAGUCGAGAAUCUUCGGCAAUGGACGCAAGUCUGACCGAGCGACGCCGCGUGCGGGAUGAAGGCCUUCGGGUUGUAAACCGCUGUCGUAGGGGAGGAAGGUCUGGUGAAGAGCCAGGCUUGACCGAUCCUAGGAGGAAGGGCCGGCUAAUCUCGUGCCAGCAGGCGCGGUAAUACGAGAGGC